rnacentral:lncRNA from 1 species
CUGUCGAACGUGGCUUUUUAAAAAUGUAUUGCGCAGUAAAAGUGCAUAAACCUAAUGUCAAGUUAAAGUGUACUGUUAGCUAGCUAAUGUUAGCUGGCUAGCUCGCUAGCUAACGUUACGUGUAUACUCUCCACUUUCUGGAGGACCAAGUUUUGAAAUCAGUGGAAUUUGAGAAUUAUAAAUAAGGAGAUGGAGAAAACACCAGUCUGGAUUACAUCGUUAAACUAAGGGCAACCAUGCAUGGCAUCAGACAGGAGACGCGUCCUAUACAACCAUGAUGUAUACUGGUGGGGGUAACAGUCAGUAAACCAGGGGAAACAGCAGAUGUACCUGUGGGGGUGAUUGUGGGCAGUGUGAUCGGAGGACUGCUCCUACUGGCUCUGGUGGUGGGGCUGCUGUGGAAGUUUGGCUUCUUCAAGAGGAAGUACCAGCAGCUACGUGAGAGGACAGAGUACAGUGAGGAACCUCAGGAGAACGGGCCAUGAGAUGAACAAACAGACAGACAGACAGACAGAGAGGACAAAGGACACACACAUCAAAUAAGGACAUUGCUCAUAUUGUUCCUCGCAGUGAGACACAUGAGAGGUGGAUGUGCCUAACCGGUUUAGCAGACAAAGAUUAAAGCCGAUAGUCCUGGACUGAUAAGCAGUUCAGAAAAGGUUUUGAUGUAUUUGUGUUUGUAAUGUCCUCUAUGGGAUUGUACAGCAGCAGUUUACAUAGUUAUAAUGCACUGAAUUGGACUAAAUGCAAUGAGAGUUAUUUUACUAUAAACUAGUUCAACCUGUGAAAUAUAAUUACACUAUGGAUACCUUUUCUGGGGACGAUGAACUAUUUCAGAAUAGAUGUAGUCGUAAGUUAUUCAUCAGGGGGAAAAAGUUUAAAUUUGUACGAUUUUUUAUUUUUUUUCAAAAGUAAGAAAGAUGUUAGCAUUUUUACGUUUAUUUCUUAAAUACCGAAAUACAAGUAAGAGAUAAGAGAUAUCGCCAUAAUGAGUACAGUUCAAAGGAACAUCAUGUUGGCGGUGUGUGCGUUUUUUAUUCGCCAAGUUGUGAGAUGUCAUUUUACCAACUUCUGUAUUUAAUUACCUAACAUUUUACCAACUCCUGUAUUUAAUUACCUAACAUUUU